UACGUAGGGUGCAGGCGUUAAUCGGAAUCACUGGGCGUAAAGCGCACGUAGGCGGCUUUCUAAGUCAGGGGUGAAAUCCUGGAGCUCAACUCCAGAACUGCCUUUGAUACUGGAGAGCUUGAGUCCGGAAGAGGUGAGUGAAACUCCGAGUGUAGAGGUGAAAUUCGUAGAUAUUCGGAAGAACACCAGUGGCGAAGGCGGCUCACUGGUCCGGUACUGACGCUGAGGUGCGAAAGCGUGGGGAGCAAACAGG
rnacentral:rRNA from 1 species